UCUUAUCCUUCCUCGGAUCGACGUCUUGACCUCCUUCCGGCUCGACAGCUUCCCAAACUCCUUGGUCUUCCAUCAUAGCCCUUACUCGAAUCACCCAACUGGUAUAGUUCGUCAAUGUCAGUCGUGGAUAUUGGAAGACUCCACUACUGAUUUCCAGUGCUGCGUCUUUGGUAACAAUCGCCAUAUCUUUCAAACUAAUGUAUUUGGGCAUAUAACCAAGCUCUGAGGCCAAUUGUUGUCCCCUCACUAGAUCAACACUCACUCAAACACAAACUGAAAGUGACAAAAAAUAAAGAGAAUACAGGUACUGAUUUCCAGUGAUGCGUCUUUGGUAACAAUCGCCAUAUCUUUCAAACUAAUGUAUUUGGGCAUAUAACUAAGCUCUGAGUCCAAUUGUUGUCCCCUCACAAGAUUAACACUCACUCAAACACAAACUGAAAGUGACAAAAAAUAAAGAGAAUACAGAGAAAUAAAAGAAUUCAGAAAGCACUUG
rnacentral:lncRNA from 1 species